UACGUAGGGUGCGAGCGUUGUCCGGAAUUAUUGGGCGUAAAGAGCUUGUAGGCGGUUUGUCGCGUCUGCCGUGAAAAUCCGAGGUUCAACCUCGGACUUGCGGUGGGUACGGGCAGACUAGAGUGUGGUAGGGGAGACUGGAAUUCCUGGUGUAGCGGUGAAAUGCGCAGAUAUCAGGAGGAACACCGAUGGCGAAGGCAGGUCUCUGGGCCACUACUGACGCUGAGAAGCGAAAGCAUGGGGAGCGAACAGG
rnacentral:rRNA from 1 species